AUUGAACGCUGGCGGCAGGCCUUACACAUGCAAGUCGGACGAGUGGCGAACGGGUGAGUAACGCAUCGGAACGUACCGGGUGAUGGGGGAUAACUGUCCGAAAGGACAGCUAAUACAGCAUAUUAUUCGAGCGGCCGAUGUCUGAUUAGCUGGUGGGCGGGGUAACGGCCCACCAAGGAGACGAUCAGUAGCUGGUCUGAGAGGAUGAUCCGCCCCCCUGUGACUGUGACACGGCCCAGACUCCUACGUGAGGCAGCAGUGGGGAAUUUUGGACAAUGGGCGCAAGCCUGAUCCAUCCAUGCCGCGUGUCUGAAGAAGGCCUUCGGGUUGUAAAGGACUUUUGUCAGGGAAGCGGUACCUGAAGAAUAAGCACCGGCUAACUACGUGCCAGCAGCCGCGGUAAUUC
rnacentral:rRNA from 1 species